CUGUCAUUGACCAUUCUGCCAAGGCCCGUUGCAAAUGUUGCAUCAACACUUUAUAAAGGUCUUCACUAUCCUUGGGCAAUUUCUCAUUGUUGGGCUCUUUUUGUCUCUGCAAAGCAAGCAUCAAGGGUUAUUUGCAGUGUCUAUUGUACUUUACAUCCAGCAAGAGCAUAUCAUCUAAGACUAAGAAUGAAUGGUUUAUACGUGGCAUGCAACGAAACUGGCGUGAUGUAAAGUGAAAUCGGCAAACAAAUGUAUCAACUGUCGAGGGUUUAGCGAAGAUGUCCAUGACGACAAAGAAACUUGUAACACACUACCUACUUCACAUCUGGCACGUCAUGCUCCUAUCGUUUUUUGGCCUCGUGGACGUUUUUGCUAGAACUGGAGAAAUAAAUUUUCCAUCUAGUACAUAACCAUCAUCCGUUUGGAGUAGAUUCAGUGGUGUGGAAAACCACACUUGAAGUUGAUCAUCUGUUAUUCCAUCGAGAAGAAUCAACACACUGAAGUCACAAACUUUAGUUGGUAAAUGGCG